rnacentral:tRNA from 1 species
AGCUCGGUAGCUUAGUAGGUGAAGCAAUAGUCUAGCGUUUAAAGAUCAUGAGUUCAAAUCUCACCUGAGGUA